UACAGAGGGUGCGAGCGUUAAUCGGAAUUACUGGGCGUAAAGCGUGCGUAGACGGUUAUCUAAGUCGGAUGUGAAAGCCCCGGGCUCAACCUGGGAAUUGCAUUCGAGACUGAAUAGCUAGGGUGCGGUAGAGGGAAGCGGAAUUUCCGGUGUAGCGGUGAAAUGCGUAGAUAUCAGGAGGAACACCGGUGGCGAAGGCGGGACUCUGGGCCGAUACUGACGCUGAGGAGCGAAAGCGUGGGGAGCGAACAGG
rnacentral:rRNA from 1 species